UCAUUAUCCAUCCAACCAGCUGCGGUCGCGGCCCCACGCUUACCCGUGGCGGUACGCGCCGCACGUCUGCACCCUUUUUUUACGAGUACCUUCGUUCUCCCUCGGCAGGGCAACCUGCCGUUGGAACCAUACAAAACCUUUUUUUGCAUCUAGCAUUACCUGUUCUGAUACAAACAAUCGUUACAACUUUCAACAAUGGAUCUCUUGGCUCUGGCAUCGAUGAAGAACGCAGCGAAAUGCGAUAAGUAGUGUGAAUUGCAGAAUUCAGUGAAUCAUCGAAUCUUUGAACGCACAUUGCGCCCCUUGGUAUUCCAUGGGGCAUGCCUGUUCGAGCGUCAUCUACACCCUCAAGCUCUGCUUGGUGUUGGGCGUCUGUCCCGCCUCUGCGCGUGGACUCGCCUCAAAAUCAUUGGCAGCGGUCCUUGCCUCCUCUCGCGCAGCACAUUGCGCUUCUCGAGGGGCGUGGGUCGCGUCCACGAAGCAACAUUACCGUCUUUGACCUCGGAUCAGGUAGGGAUACCCGCUGAACUUAAGCAUAUCAAUAAGCGGAGGAA
rnacentral:rRNA from 1 species